rnacentral:rRNA from 1 species
GGCGGUGGUUUAACUAAUCAGAGGAAUUUGCCCUAUAAUCGAUAAUCCCCGCUAUAUUUUACUUAGAAAGUAGUCAGCUUGUAUACCGCCGUCAUCAGGAAAUUUUUAGAAAAUAUUUUCUAAAAUUUAUUCAAAAAUAUGUCAGGUCAAGGUGCAGCCCAUAUCUAAGAAGAGGUGAAUUACAAUAAAACAAUUUAAUACGGAGCAUUUAGUGAAAAUUAAAUGGGAAGGAGGAUU